AUAAUAAUAAUAACCUGAGAAAUCUUGUAUUUACAACUUGCUAUUUACCUAAAUAUUAGUGCUCCUGUAAAAAUACAAAUUUUCCUUUUUUCUGUGUUUUUUUUCAAGUUUGCAGUAUUAACUGCAAAUGAUCUUUUAUGAGGAAAAGCCCCCAAAAAAUCACAGAAUAGAAUCUCCAAUCUUAUGAUGACAUCAACAGGAAAAUAGAAUUUAGUACACAGGCAGCUUUUCUGGCACAAAUCCAUUCUGUUUACUGAUGUCUAUCUUAUUAAAUAUGCUUCCCAUCAAAUUGGGAGACCAUCACUUGUCCUCUUAGAGAAGAAAAGCUACAUCAUUAGGAGCAGUGGUGAUGAGGGCCCACCAUCCUGCAAAGCAAGGAAUACAGAGAGGACGCGAGGAGGAGUGCUGUACGUCCACGUGGCACAGCCAUGAGAUUCGGGAAGAGGAGACCAAAUGGUUUGGCGUCUUAAUCCCCGUGGACCUGAGCCACCAGGGCUCACCGGUCUCAUGACAAAAGCCUGGGAAAGCAAAGUCACGCAAGCAUGUCUAAGAGCAGCUACCAUUCAGCACAUAUUCAGCAACCGUCAUUAGAGGUAACGUGCAGACAAACCGGUUUUCUAAGACAAGUUUCCAAUAUUUUCUCAUUGUGACUUUCCACAUCAGGGCUCUCCACAUCACCAAACCCUCAGACAAAGGGAAAACGAUGAAUAUAAUGGCCAUCCUUGCCCUUCCUUUUGGUGGGAAGAAGUCAAUAGAAGAUCCAACAAUAAUGAGAGUAAUAACUGUUAUUUUUCACAGAUGCUUUUUUCUAAAGCGGUCAUGGUAGAAUUGCAUCUUCAGGCUGUUGGAUGGCUCACGCCAGAAGUGUCUCCAUGCGAGCUGGUGAGUUCUACCAGCUCAGGGCAAGUGUUUCUCAGGGGGAAGACUGCAGACUCCUGAGGGUUCGGUUCCCGAGGUCCAUUCCAAAUGCACAUUCCAGGGUUCUGUGUCCAGUUAACCUGCUGGAAGGGGACCCACGUGUCUGUAUUUUCACGAGACCCUACAGGGAUUUCUGAUGCAUGCUUAUUUGAGUGAGCAUUCUUUUUUUAAUGUGUCAACCUAUCCGCGAAUCUUGACAAACGGUAGAAAACUGAACUCUAAGUUGUAUCUCGUGAAAUGUUUUUGUCAGGGGAGAAGAAGAAGAACACAGAGAAACAAAGUCCAACAGU